rnacentral:lncRNA from 1 species
UCAAUUGUAACUCCUUGUACUGUGAUACAUAUCACUACACGUAAUAACACAACCGUGAGCCUAGCUGGAUCUUGUGAGACUUGAAUUCUUCUGCCAUAGUCAGUUUAACACAAAUAAGAGAAAAAAUAGCACAUUAAAAGUUACUUAAAAUUUAGAAGCAAAAAUAAAAUUCCAUGAAAGUUAUUAUGCACAACAUUUAAUAAAAUCUAUACUUGUCACAACAUUUAAUAAAAUUGACCGUUAUUAGCAUAUUAACCGUUAUUAGUCAAUGUGAGAUAUUAUCAUCAAUAAUGUGGACC